CCCUUAGAUGUCCUGGGCCGCACGCGCGUUACACUGAUGCAUUCAACGAGCUUAUAACCUUGGCCGUGAGGCCUGGGCAAUCUUGUUAACGUGCAUCGUGAUAGGGAUAGAUUAUUGAAAUUAUUAAUCUUGAACGAGGAAUUCCUAGUAAACGCAGAUCAUCAAUCUGCAUUGAUUACGUCCCUGCCCUUUGUACACACCGCCCGUCGCACCUACCGAUUGGAUGGUCCGGUGAAACCUCGGGAUUGUGGUUCUUGCCGCUUUAUUGUGGCGUGACCGCGAGAACUUGUCUAAACCUUAUCAUCUAGAGGAAGGUGAAGUCGUAACA
rnacentral:rRNA from 1 species